rnacentral:misc_RNA from 1 species
AAGAGCCGAGGCUGAGGAGGA